rnacentral:rRNA from 1 species
CCUACGGGAGGCAGCAGUGGGGAAUAUUGCACAAUGGGGGAAACCCUGAUGCAGCGACGCCGCGUGAGUGAAGAAGUAUUUCGGUACGUAAAGCUCUAUCAGCAGGGAAGAAAAAAAGUCCUUUGGACUUUGGACGGUACUUGACCAAGAGGCACCGGCUAACUACGUGCCAGCAGCCGCGGUAAUACGGAGGGGGCAAGCGUUAUCCGGAUUUACUGGGUGUAAAGGGAGCGUAGACGGCAGCGCAAGUCUGGAGUGAAAUGCCGGGGCCCAACCCCGGAACUGCGUUGGAAACUGUGCAGCUGGAGUGCAGGAGAGGUAAGCGGAAUUCCUAGUGUAGCGGUGAAAUGCGUAGAUAUUAGGAGGAACACCAGUGGCGAAGGCGGCUUACUGGACUGUAACUGACGUUGAGGCUCGAAAGCGUGGGGAUCAAACAGGAUUAGAUACCCGUGUAGUC